rnacentral:rRNA from 1 species
AGCCACAUGGGAUGAGAACGGCCAGCCUUUACGGGUUGAGCAGCAGGCUCUAGAAACAGGGCACCCCGUUUAGCCUGCCGCUGAGCGAGAGGCUAGGGUCUAAUGCUUUUUAGUUUGAAGAAUUGACGGUAGCAGCAAAGCUCCCGGCUAAUUCGUGCAGCAGCCGCGUAUUACGGAGGGAUUAGCGUUUUUUCGGAUUACUGGGCGUAAGCGCGCGUAAGCGGAUAAUAAUUAAAGGUGAAAUCCCGGGGGCUUAACCCCGGAAAUGGCUUUAAUACUGGUAGUUUUGGGUUUCAGAGAGGUUGAGUGGAAUUUCCAGUGGAAAGGUUGAAAUUUCGUAAAAUAUUUCGGUGGAAACACCAGUGGCGAAAGCGGCUUCACUUGGCUCGAUACUGACGCUGAAGUGCGAAAGUGUGGGGAAGCAAACAGGAUAAGAUACCCUGGUAGUCCACACCGUAAACGAUGAAUGCCAGACGUC